rnacentral:ncRNA from 1 species
AAAAACACAGGUCCGUGCGAAGCCGUAAGGCGAUGUAUACGGACUGACGCCUGCCCGGUGCUGGAACGUUAAGGGGACCGGUUAGUUCCAUUUCGGUGGGGCGAAGCUGAGAACUUAAGCGCCAGUAAACGGCGGUGGUAACUAUAACCAUCCUAAGGUAGCGAAAUUCCUUGUCGGGUAAGUUCCGACCUGCACGAAUGGCGUAACGACUUCUCGACUGUCUCAACCAUAGGCCCGGUGAAAUUGCACUACGAGUAGAGAUGCUCGUUUCGCGCAGCAGGACGGAAAGACCCCGGGACCUUUAC